GACAUCCUGGAGAGCGGCGGGCGGACAGCCAGGCGCAACGCCUCCAUCUCUCGCCUCUACAUCCUCUACCAGAUUGUCUACAUGGCGGCCUCCAUAAUGGGCCCCGCAACUGUCUGUCUGAUGAUCGCCGGUGCAUUUACCUUCGUCUUCAAGAUGUCCGAGGUAUGGGCAUUAGUGCUCGCCAUUCUUCCUCCAGCCAUCUACAUCAUCAUCUGCUUCAAGACCAAGUCUAGCACACAGAUCACAGUCGCGAUGGUGAUGAGCGUCUUCUACGUAUUCACUCAUGACGGGCACGAUAAUCUCCAUCGUGGGCGAGAUGAUGUUGUCAUCAUCAUCACAACCAUCAUCAUCACAACAUCACAACCAUCAUCAUCAUCACCUGUUACACUCACCCUGUCACACACACACACAUAGGUCGCGAUGGUGAUGAGCGUCUUCUACGUAUUCCUCAUGACUGGCACGAUACUGUCCAUCGUGGGCGAGAUGAUGUUGUCAUCAUCAUCACAACCAUCAUCAUCAUCAUCACAACAUCACAACCAUCAUCACCUGUUACACCCACCCUGUCACACACACAGGUAGCGAUGGUGAUGAGCGUCUUCUACGUAUUCCUGAUGACUGGCACGCUACUGACCAUCGUGGGCGAGAUGAUGUUGUCAUCAUCAUCACAACCAUCAUCAUCAUCACAACAUCACAACCAUAAUCAUCAUCAUCAUCACAACCACCAUCAUCAUCAUCACCUGUUACACUCACCCUGUCACACACACACACACACAUAGGUCGCGAUGGUGAUGAGCGUCUUCUACGUAUUCCUCAUGACGGGCACUAUACUGUCCAUCGUGGGCGAGAUGAUGUUGUCAUCACAACCAUCAUCAUCACAACCAUCAUCAUCAUCACCUGUUACACCCACCCUGUCACACACACAGGUAACGAUGGUGAUGAGCGUCUUCUACGUAUUCCUGAUGACGGGCACGCUACUGUCCAUCGUGGGCGAGAUGAUGUUGUCAUCAUCAUCACAACCAUCAUCACAACCAACAUCAUCACAACCAUCACCAUCAUCAUCACCUGUUACACCCACCCUGUCACACACACACACAGGUAGCGAUGGUGAUGAGCGUCUUCUACGUAUUCCUCAUGACGGGCACGAUACUGUCCAUCGUGGGCGAGAUGAUGUUGUCAUCAUCAUCACAACCAUCAUCAUCAUCACAACAUCACAACCAUCAUCAUCAUCACCUGUUACACUCCCCCUGUCACACACACACAGGUAGCGAUGGUGAUGAGCGUCUUCUACGUAUUCCUGAUGACGGGCACGAUAAUCUCCAUCGUGGGCGAGAUGAUGUUAUCAUCAUCAUCACAACCAUCAUCAUCACAACCACCAUCAUCAUCACCUGUUACACCCACCCUGUCACACACACACACAAACACAGGUCGCGAUGGUGAUGAGCGUCUUCUACUUAUUCCUGAUGACUGGCACGCUACUGUCCAUCGUGGUGCGAGAUGAUGUUGUCAUCAUCACAACCAUCAUCAUCACCUGCUACACCACCACCUCCACCCUGUCACACACACAGGUAGCGAUGGUGAUGAGCGUCUUCUACGUAUUCCUCAUGACUGGCACGCUAAUCUCCAUCGUGGGCGAGAUUAUCAUCAUCACAACCAUCAUCAUCACAACCAUAAUCAUCAUCAUCAUCACAACCACCAUCAUCAUCAUCACCUGUUACACCCACCCUGUCACACACACACACACACAUAGGUCGCGAUGGUGAUGAGCGUCUUCUACGUAUUCACUCAUGACGGGCACGAUAAUCUCCAUCGUGGGCGAGAUGAUGUUAUCAUCAUCAUCACAACCAUCAUCAUCACAACCAUCAUCAUCAUCACCUGUUACACCCACCCUGCCACACACACACCACAAACACAGGUCGCGAUGGUGAUGAAGCGUCUUCUACGUAUUCCUCAUGACGGGCACGAUACUGUCCAUCGUGGGCGAGAUGAUGUUGUCAUCAUCAUCACAACCAUCAUCAUCAUCACAACAUCACAACCAUCAUCAUCAUCAUCACCUGCUACACCACCACCUCCACCCUGUCACACACACAGGUCGCGAUGGUGAUGAGCGUCUUCUACGUAUUCCUCAUGACGGGCACGAUACUGUCCAUCGUGGACGAGAUGACGUUGUCAUCAUCACAACCAUCAUCAUCACAACCAUCAUCAUCAUCAUCACCUGUUACACCCACCCUGUCACACACACACACACACUAGGUCGCGAUGUGA